AGCAAACCUCAGAAAGCCAAUCUCAGUUCGGAUUGUAGGCUGCAACUCGCCUACAUGAAGUUGGAAUCGCUAGUAAUCGCGAAUCAGAAUGUCGCGGUGAAUACGUUCCCGGGUCUUGUACACACCGCCCGUCACACCACGAGAGUUUACAACACCCGAAGUCAGUGGCCUAACCGCAAGGAGGGAGCUGCCUAAGGUGGGGUAGAUGAUUGGGGUGAAGUCGUAACAAGGUACC
rnacentral:rRNA from 1 species